rnacentral:rRNA from 1 species
AUGGCGCCUGAUCUUAACCCCUCUCCAGAACUCAAGCAUGCCCUCCUGUGGUCUGUACCACUACUCAUCAUAGCUCCCACGGUGAUCUUCUUGUACAUGCAAGCUGUUGGCAAGAAGAAGAACGCCAUCCGUCUUCCUCCGAGUCCCCUGAGGCUGCCAAUCAUAGGGCAUCUGCACCUGAUGGUGCACGAGCCCCACCGGUCGCUGCAGAGGCUGGCCCGCAGCCUCGGCCCGGUCGUCCACCUGCAGCUCGGCGGCGUUGCGGACAUCGUGGUUUCGUCGCCUGAGGCUGCCAAGGAGGUGCUCAAGACGCACGAUGUCCAUUGCUGCAGCCGACCCUCAUCACCAGGUGCAAAAUUAAUUACAUACGGCCAACAAGACAUCGCGUUCUCACCGUACAACGCAAGCUGGCGCGAGAGGCGCAAGCUGUUCGUCUCAGAGCUUGUAAGCAGCAAACGCGUCCAGUCCUUUGCUCACGCACUAGAAGCUCAGGUCGGCGAGCUGAUCCAAUCACUCUCACUACGGUCUCCGCCGACGGAGCCCGUCAACCUCAACGAGACCCUCUUCACGCUCAUCGACGGCUUCAUCGGCACGGUGGCGUUCGGGAGCAUGAACGGCGCCAAGCUCAUGAAGUACGCCAAGUUCCAGCAGGUGUUCAGCGAGGCCAUGAUCGCCCUUUCCGCCUUCUCCGCGCAGGACUUCUUCCCGGCGUCACCGAUGAGCCGGUGGUUCGAUAAGCUCGUCGGGCUGGAGGCGCGAUACCAAAGGAUAUUCCUAGAGCUGGACUCGUACUUCGAGAUGGUGCUCAGCCAGCAUAUGGAUCCUGGGAGGGUGAAGCCUGACAAAGAUGACCUUGUGGAUGUGUUGAUCAGUCUAUGGAAGGGGCAAGGGAAGGUCACAAAGGACCACCUCAAGGCUCUUCUAAUGGAUACAUUUAUCGGUGGCACGACGACGAGCUCGGUGACAUUGUUGUGGGCUAUGUCUGAGCUAAUCAAGAACCCGACGGUGAUGCAGAAGGCACAAAGAGAGGUAAGGAGUUUGGUUGGCGGCAAACAGAGACUAGUGCAGGUUGACGACCUCUCUAAACUCAACUACCUGAAGAUGGUCGUCAAAGAGACACUGCGCCUCCACCCGCCCGCGCCGCUGCUCGUCCCUAGGGAAACCAUGGACCAUGUGAAGGUCCUUGGGUACGACAUCCCCGCGAAGACAAGGAUCUUCGUGAACGUGUGGGCCAUGGGGAGGGACCCUGCCUGCUGGGAGAAACCUGAGGAGUUUUACCCGGAGAGGUUUGACGGCAUGGACACUGAUUUCUAUGGAUUGCACUACGAGCUCCUUCCGUUUGGCGCCGGGCGGCGGAUCUGCCCUGCUAUCCCCAUGGGCGCCACAAUCGUCGAGUUCACGCUUGCUAGCUUGCUGCAUUCGUUCGACUGGGAGUUGCCUGACGGCAUGAGGAAAGAAGACGUGAGCAUGGAAGGGACUGGCAGACAGGUUUUCUGUAGGAAGACUCCUCUGUGUCUUGUUCCAUCUGUUAAUACUGGCUAA